rnacentral:rRNA from 1 species
UACGGGGGGAGCAAGCGUUGUUCGGAUUUACUGGGCGUAAAGGGCGCGUAGGCGGCGCAACAAGUCACUUGUGAAAUCUCCGGGCUUAACUCGGAAAGGUCAAGUGAUACUGUUGUGCUAGAGUGCGGAAGGGGCAACUGGAAUUCUCGGUGUAGCGGUGAAAUGCGUAGAUAUCGAGAGGAACACCUGCGGCGAAGGCGGGUUGCUGGGCCGACACUGACGCUGAUGCGCGAAAGCCAGGGGAGCAAACGGG